AGCUUCGGCCAUCCGGCGAGGGAUGGGCCCGCGGUGCAUUAGCUAGUUGGUGGGGUAAAGGCCUACCAAGGCGACGAUGCGUAGCUGGUCUGAGAGGAUGAUCAGCCACACUGGGACUGAGACACGGCCCAGACUCCUACGGGAGGCAGCAGCCAGGAAUCUUGGGCAAUGGGCGCAAGCCUGACCCAGCAACACCGUGUGGGCGAUGAAGGCCUUCGGGUCGUAAAGCCCUGUUGAUAGGGACGAAGGGCGAAGGGUUAAUAGCCC
rnacentral:rRNA from 1 species